rnacentral:sRNA from 1 species
GCCGGGUGCGGUGGCACACACCUGUAAUCCCAGUGGCUUGGGAGGCUGAGGCAAGAGGAUCGCAAGUUCAAAGCCAGCUAAGCAACUCAGUGAGACCCUGUCUGUA